rnacentral:rRNA from 1 species
GAUGAACGCUGGCGGCAUGCCUAACACAUGCAAGUCGAUCGGUAAGGCUCUUCGGAGUACACGAGAGGCGGACGGCUGAGUAACGCGUAGGAACACACCCUGCAGUCAGGGAUAAGACACCGAAAGGUGUUCUAAUACCGCAUACGGUCUUCGGAUUAAAGCAUUUAUGCGCUGAAGGAGUGGCCUGCGUCAUAUUAGAUAGUUGGUGAGGUAAUGGCUCACCAAGUCGAUGAUGUGUAGCUGGUCUGAGAGGAUGAUCAGCCAGACUGGAACUGAGACACGGUCCAGACUCCUACGGGAGGCAGCAGUGAGGAAUAUAUCACAAUGAGCGAAAGCUUGAUGGAGCAAUGCCGCGUGCAGGAUGAAGGCCCUCGGGUUGUAAACUGCUUUUAUAAGAGAAGAUUAUGACGGUAACUUAUGAAUAAGGGACGGCUAACUACGUG